rnacentral:rRNA from 1 species
GAUGAACGCUGGCGGCGUGCCUAAUACAUGCAAGUCGAGCGAACGGACGAGAAGCUUGCUUCUCUGAUGUUAGCGGCGGACGGGUGAGUAACACGUGGAUAACCUACCUAUAAGACUUUGAUAACUUCGGGAAACCGGAGCUAAUACCGGAUAAUAUUUUGAACCGCAUGGUUCAAAAUUGAAAGACGGUCUUGCUGUCACUUAUAGAUGGAUCCGCGCUGCAUUAGCGAGUUGGUAAGGUAACGGCUUACCAAGGCAACGAUGCAUAGCCGACCUGAGAGGGUGAUCGGCCACACGGGAACUGAGACACGGUCCAGACUCCUACGGGAGGCAGCAGUAGGGAAUCUUCCGCAAUGGGCGAAAGCCUGACGGAGCAACGCCGCGUGAGUGAUGAAGGUCUUCGGAUCGUAAAACUCUGUUAUUAGGGAAGAACAUAUGUGUAAGUAACUGUGCACAUCUUGACGGUACCUAAUCAGAAAGCCACGGCUAACUACGUG